UACGGGGGGGGCAAGCGUUGUUCGGAAUUACUGGGCGUAAGGGCCAGUAGGCGGCCAACUAAGUCCGACGUGAAAUCCCAAGGCUUAACCUUGGAACUGCGUCGGAUACUGGAUGGCUUGAAUUCGGGAGAGGGAUGCAGAAUUCCAGGUGUAGCGGUGAAAUGCGUAGAUAUCUGGAGGAAUACCGGUGGCGAAGGCGGCAUCCUGGACCGACAUUGACGCUGAACGGCGAAAGCUAGGGGAGCAAACGGG
rnacentral:rRNA from 1 species